rnacentral:tRNA from 1 species
ACUAUUUUGGCAGAAUAUGCGUUAGAUUUAGGAUCUAUUUAUGUAAUUUAUUACAAGUAGUA